AAGUAAAAGUCGUAACAAGGUUUCCGUAGGUGAACCUGCGGAAGGAUCAUUACCGAGUGAGGGCCCUCUGGGUCCAACCUCCCACCCGUGUUUAUUUUACCUUGUUGCUUCGGCGGGCCCGCCUUAACUGGCCGCCGGGGGGCUCACGCCCCCGGGCCCGCGCCCGCCGAAGACACCCUCGAACUCUGUCUGAAGAUUGUAGUCUGAGUGAAAAUAUAAAUUAUUUAAAACUUUCAACAACGGAUCUCUUGGUUCCGGCAUCGAUGAAGAACGCAGCGAAAUGCGAUACGUAAUGUGAAUUGCAAAUUCAGUGAAUCAUCGAGUCUUUGAACGCACAUUGCGCCCCCUGGUAUUCCGGGGGGCAUGCCUGUCCGAGCGUCAUUGCUGCCCUCAAGCACGGCUUGUGUGUUGGGCCCCGUCCUCCGAUCCCGGGGGACGGGCCCGAAAGGCAGCGGCGGCACCGCGUCCGGUCCUCGAGCGUAUGGGGCUUUGUCACCCGCUCUGUAGGCCCGGCCGGCGCUUGCCGAUCAACCCAAAUUUUUAUCCAGGUUGACCUCGGAUCAGG
rnacentral:sRNA from 1 species